rnacentral:lncRNA from 1 species
ACCAAUGAUGAGUACCAUGGGGUAUCUGAAACAGGAUUUUUGAUUAAACCCAUAUGCAAUUCUGAGGUCCAUUACAAAGAGACACGUAUUAUUCCUUUUUUGGGAAGUGAGCCUAUGGUACCUUUUCCUUGGACUUUGUGGUUCUUGGGGAUGGAUUGCAUUUUUGUUAUAAAAUCAGCCCAUGAAUUAAAAAUUUAUCAAUGAGUAAAACAUAAAGCAUAAGUCAUGUACUUAUUAUCAGUGACUGUAAUGAAACAUGGAUUAUUAUUAAAACUUAUCUGAGACUCCCAAUAAAUUAAUACCCAAGGCUUCUACCAUUCUGGUAAGGAGCAUAUGGUCAUUUGUAUGCAAGAGUCAGUUUUUGUUCUGUGUUGGUGGUGGGUUGCUGACUAUUUUAUGAAGAAAAUGAAGCAUCUUUAAUCAUAUAAAUAGUUGGUUAAAUAACCACUUAAUUGAGACCAAGCAGAGACCAAUGAUGAGUGUAUUAAUCUAUUUUUUAAUGGAUUUUUAUUAAACAAAUAAUAAAAGAAACACAGUCUAUUCUUCCUGAGGGCAAUAACUCUAGACAGAUGUAAAUAUUCUUCAGUGUUCUUGUCCAGUGCUGUGAGAUCACAGAUACUGAUGUCUUUUGUAUAUGAGAAGGAACUUGCAUUUUUAUGUCUCAGUUUAUAUUUUAGAGUCAGCAAACCAUGGACCAAUUAGGAACAAAUGUUAUGAUAUGAGAAUGCUGAUUCUUGUUUUUUUUUUUCAUGAUAGACAUUCUAAGAAAAACUCUAGGCUCUCUCAUUGUUUUUGGAAUACAUACAUGGUUCUUUCCAAGUAGUUUCUUAGAAAAAUGUUUUUAAAAAGAGGCUUUUAAAAAGAGCCUUUUAAAAUGUUUUUAAAAGAAGGCUUUAUUUUUCUCUAUAGAAUGAAAACCAUGUAGCUGGUCUUAUUAUUCUCUAAUCAUGAAGACCAUUAUUGUUAUUUGUGGACUAAGGAGCAGAAAGACUGAUAGUGGACAUAGGCCAGCUGAUUUAAUAAUUUAAGAAAGAACUGUUAUCCUGAGUAAGGAGCAUAGAGACAAAUAUAAAAUGAACGCACUCUACCUGAUUUAAUUAUAGUCUUCUGGUGAAGAUCUUGCUGUUAUCUCUGUGAAUCAGGAGAGAAGAGAUUGAUAAGGAAUAGACGAGAUUGGAUUUGGUCAUUUCCCCAAGGUGAAGAGCAUGGCGAUUUCUUCUGUGGUAAGGAGCAAUAAUGAAGACCAUGGUUGAUUUAAUCAGUCUCUGCUGAUGAAGAUCUUGGCUGUUACCUUUGUGUGUAAGGAAGCUAAAGACUUAAGUAAAUAACAGUCCAAAAACUUGUCAAUUAGGAAUGAAUGCGCAAUGAUUCAAUUAUUCUCCAGCGAGGAAGAUCAUGGUUGUUGUCUGUUUGAGUAAUGAGUGUAGAAACCUAUAAUGGAGGCGUGAUGGCUGAUGCAAUCAUUUUCCACUGAUGAAGGUUUUGAUGGCCACCUGUAAUGAACAGCCCCAUCUGAUUUAAUCACUGUGCAAUGACCGUGAACUGUACAGUUACCUCCGUGUGUCACAGGAAGACUCUUUUGACUUAAGCACCCUUCCAUGGUCAUGAGGUUUCUGGUUGCCUCUGUGUGUUAGAAGCUUGGAGACCAAUGCCUUCUGCUGUGAUCGCGUUCUCCACAGUUGCCUCUGGGUAGGAGCCUGGACACUAAUAGAAAAUGGAUGCACUUGAGCCGACCUAAGCAUUCAUGGUCAUGAGAUUUGUGGUUGCCACUGUUGGUUAGGAGCAUAGAGAUCAGUAAUGGACACACCUGGGCUGGCAGAACAUCUUGCCUUGAUCUGGAGCCCCAUGUCUGCCCCUCUGUAGAGGUGCACAUGGGCCAAUGAUGGAUGCAAUGAGCUGAUCAUUUUGCUGUGAUCAAGGCUAUGUUGCCUCUGUGUUAGGCCAAUGGUUGAUGUUCAUGGGUGAUUGAUCAUCCUGUAGCGACGGUGGUAUUGACUGUUCCCCAGAGGACAAGGAGUGUGUUCUUAUGUGGAGGCUGUCUGCAGUAGGAGCAUGGAGACCAACAAUGGAUGCUCUUAAACUGAUUUAAGCACGCUUCCAUGGUCAGAAGCCUUAUGGUUGCCACAGGGUAUUAGGAGCAUGGAGACCAAUAAUGGAUGUCCUUGUUCUGAUUUGAGGAUGCCUCCAAGGUCACAUACUCUGUUUGCACCACGCUUAGGAAGGAGCGUGAAGACCAAGGGGAGUAAUAGUCAA